AUUGUUGUGUGUUGAAUGAUGUCUACUAGGCCCUCGGCUGUCUUCUGUAGAAGUCAUUACAGAUAAAGUUUAGUCUUCAUGCAUGGACCCCAAAGGGUCACUGGUCAGUCAUUGCUGCCGUUUAAAUCUUUAGAUUAGCUCUCGGAAUAUGAAGUACUGCUUAGGAUCGUUGUGGGUUGAAUGGAGUGCACUAGGCUUCAUCGGCUGUCUUCUGCAGAAGUCAUUACAGGACAAGUUUAGUCUUCUUGCAUGUAGUUCAAAGGGUCAGUGGCCAAUUAUUACUGCCGCUAAAAUCAGUAGAUUAACUCUCGGCAUAUGAAGUAGCAGAAUGAUGGCCACAGGAUCCUCACCUGUCUACAGGUUUGCAAAUACUCUUCCCUUCAUCUUGCCAGCACUUGCAGAAGCCAUUACUGGAUAAAUUUAGUCCUCUUGCAUGGAGCUCAAAGCGUCAGUGGUCAGUCACAACUGCCAUUAAAUUUCGUUAAUUUACUAACGGAAUAUGAAGAAGGGCUUGAGAUCGUUGUGGAUUUGUAGAUACUCUCUUCUUACUUUGCAUUCCAGCAGCUCCUGCCGAAGUCAUUACUGGAUUAACUCUCGAAAUAUGAAAAAGAUCGUUCUCCUGCAAAAAUCAUAAAUGAUGCUCACAUUACCUUCACCUAUCUACAGAUGGCCUCAGUCGAUAAUCUGCGUUCAGCAAGCUCAUACUGUUUUUCACGUAAAGAACGCUUGCAGGAUGUCCGGCAUUCCCAAACUAAAAUAGAUGUUGUGUAAACACCAUUCAGAACCAUUAAGGCUUCCUGGUUGUCCGCAUAUAUUCGAAUAUUAACGCCGUAUAUUCUAUAAAACCUGAGCCAGUUUGCAGUCCGUUUAGUAGCCGGAGUUUUCAUCCCGAAGAAGGCUACAUUGGUCAGAAAGCUUAAAGAAAACUUCCAUUAUAUAUAUAUCUUAUUUUGAAACAUCGGUAAGGCCUUACAUGAUCC
rnacentral:lncRNA from 1 species